UCUGGAAAAAUAUCCAAAAAUUCAAGAAAAAUUAAUAGUUUAUUUUGAUGAAUUUUUAUCUUGGAAAUUUCUUGAGUAGAUAAUUAUUUUAAAUUUUUGAAAGGAAAGGUAAAUGGAAAAUAAAUAUGAUGGAUUUUUAUAAAAUUCUGAAAAACUUCCAUAAGGAUAAUGAAUUUAUUUUAUGAGUUUUGGUGAUUUUUUAUGGAGGAGAUUCGAAAGAAGUCAAGGAGAAAUAAUUUUUCUCAAGGAAAAGUAAUUAUGGAAAUUUGAGAAAAUAGGAGAAACAUCUGGAAAAUUUUCAGAAAAUUCCAGAGGCUUAUAAAUAUUGUUUUAUGAAUUGUUUUGGAGAAAAAUUUGAAAAAUGCUUGAAGAGGUAUUUAUUUGAAAUUAUCGAAAGAAAAAUAGGAAAAAAUUAGAGAAAAAUUAUGAAAAAAUUGAGAAAAUAGAUAUUGAUUUUCCUUUGAAUGCAUAUGAUGUCUAUGGUAUAGUUGAGACUCGAGGUUGAGCUAUAGUACGCUUGGCACGAGAAUCGAGGUAAUGCACGAGGAUCGAGGCAAUCCGAAUACGUUCAAGGACGUGGGUUGUAAUUCUGUGACGUGGUCCUUGAGUGAUAGCACUCGGGAUGCGUGCCGAGGAUUAAUGCUAUGUGACCCACUUGGGACGGGGCUGAGACGGAUUUCACCCUACAGUACUCAAGUGGCGAGGCCGAGAGUGAACACCACCAAAGGUUCCUUUGAGCAAUAGCAUUAAUACCGAGGUGUUAGCAUUAAUACUGAGGUGUCGUCGAUUUCGGGGAUAAUGCUGAUGUGAUACUCUUGGGGCUAGGGUUGUGUUGGGUUUUGGAAUGCUUUUGAGUAGGAGCGUAAUGCCUAACAAUGAUAAUGAAGUGAUUCCCAGUUUCAUA